CGAUGAAAGCGAACAGCUUCCAGCACGAAACCAGCACCGCCCGGAUGGCUUCCGGCAUGACGUCGCGUGCCCGCCGACCGGAAUCCCACAUAUUCGCUGGGUAAGCCGGAGCUUCGUGCUGUCUG
rfam:Stenotrophomonas sp. Leaf70 contig_4, whole genome shotgun sequence.